rnacentral:rRNA from 1 species
CCCUUAGAUGUCCUGGGCCGCACGCGCGUUACACUGAUGCAUUCAACGAGCUUAUAACCUUGGCCGAGAGGCCUGGGCAAUCCUGUUAACGUGCAUCGUGAUAGGGAUAGAUUAUUGAAAUUAUUAAUCUUGAACGAGGAAUUCCUAGUAAACGCAGAUCAUCAAUCUGCAUUGAUUACGUCCCUGCCCUUUGUACACACCGCCCGUCGCACCUACCGAUUGGAUGGUCCGGUGAAGCCUCGGGAUUGUGGUUCUUGCCGCUUUAUUGUGGCGUGACCGCGAGAACUUGUCUAAACCUUAUCAUCUAGAGGAAGGUGAAGUCGUAACA